GAUGAACGCUGGCGGCGUGCCUAAUACAUGCAAGUCGAGCGAACAGACGAGGAGCUUGCUCCUCUGACGUUAGCGGCGGACGGGUGAGUAACACGUGGAUAACCUACCUAUAAGACUGGGAUAACUUCGGGAAACCGGAGCUAAUACCGGAUAACAUGUUGAACCGCAUGGUUCAACAGUGAAAGACGGUCUUGCUGUCACUUAUAGAUGGAUCCGCGCCGCAUUAGCUAGUUGGUAAGGUAACGGCUUACCAAGGCAACGAUGCGUAGCCGACCUGAGAGGGUGAUCGGCCACACUGGAACUGAGACACGGUCCAGACUCCUACGGGAGGCAGCAGUAGGGAAUCUUCCGCAAUGGGCGAAAGCCUGACGGAGCAACGCCGCGUGAGUGAAGAAGGUCUUCGGAUCGUAAACCUCUGUUAUUAGGGAAGAACAAAUGUUUAAGUAAAUAUGCACGUCUUGACGGUACCUAAUCAGAAAGCCACGGCUAACUACGUG
rnacentral:rRNA from 1 species